rnacentral:rRNA from 1 species
UCCGCCCGGGGACUACAAGCAUAAGCUUAAAACCCAAAGGACUUGGCGGUGCUUUAGACCCACCUAGAGGAGCCUGUUCUAAAACCGAUAACCCUCGUUAAACCUCACCCUUUCUUGUUAAAUUUUUACCGCCUAUAUACCGCCGUCGUCAGCUUACCUUGUGAAAGAACAAUAGUAAACAAAAGUGGUUUAACCCAAAACGUCAGGUCGAGGUGUAGCGAAUGAAAGGGGAAGAAAUGGGCUACAUUUCCUAAGACAGGAAAUCACGGAAUACCAUCAUGAAAAAAUAUAUGAAGGAGGAUUUAGCAGUAAAUGGGAAUAGAAGCUUCC